AGAUAGAUCGAGAUUGCACAGUACUCGAGGUAGAAAACGCUAUAGUGUGCCGCUUCAUCAACAAAGCAAGAAGUCCUCAAACUAAGUUUGCCAAUCAUGGUUCAGCUGGUGUCAUGGUAAUCAGUUUUGUAUUCUGCUGAGAGAUGGAAGAAGGUGCCGCAGAGGUGGGAGAAAGCCAGAUGGAUAUUACGCUGACUUUUGAGGAAUGGAAGGCAAACAAAAGGGUAACGGGGGAGGAAGACUUUCUGGCUCUCCAUCCACUCAAAGGUCAGCACUGUCAGGACGGCUUGCGACUGGUCAACGGUGCAAACUGGAGUGUCAAAGUUCACUGAAGGUGUACUUAAUUUCACCUCCUCCAAUCAUGGUGACUCCAAUAAAUGAACUGAU